GCCUGGCUGGCUCAGUCAGUAGACCAUGUGACUCUUGAUCUCAGGGUCAUGAGUUUGAGUCCCAUGCUGGGUG
rfam:Felis catus isolate Cinnamon breed Abyssinian chromosome B4, whole genome shotgun sequence.